AAGUUGCUCCCACCAUAGCCGCCGCCACUCUUCGCGCCGCCGCCAAUCGAUCGCCCCACGCCACCGAGCCGACGCCAUUCUCCCAGCGCGUCGGAGAACAGAUCAAGCCGAGCCACCGCACGCCGCGCUCGCGUCUGUCCCGCCGACCUCCAAGCCGUCUGACUCGCGCCGUCAGCUGUCCGACUUCGCCAGCCGAUCUUCCAUCAUCCGCGUCGCGCCGCAGCCAAGUCGCAAGCCGCGUCGCACCCCGAUCCGAGCCACACCGCCGCGCGCUGGCCGACGGAGCCGCGAAGCCGUCACUCGACCCGCGCCAUCUUCCGGAACCCGACCCGCGUCUGCGUGCAUCCGCGUAACCGAGCCGCGUCCGCGUGUAAGCCGCGCCGCGUGCUUCUGCGUAACCGAGUCGCGCCCGCGUGCAAGCCGCGCCGCCUGCACCACAAGCUGAGCCGCACCUCCUUGCUGUCGCAAGCCGAGCCGCACGCGCAAGAUCCAUGCGCCAAGCCGAGCCGAGCCGGUCCAUGUUGUCUUUCCAGCCGAGCCGCCAAGCCUAAUUUGGCUCUUUCCAUCUAAUUUUUGGGACGUCUUGGACCAAGUAACUGCUGCAGCUUGGGAUUUCUUCAGUAGGGGCUCAGCACUGCAACCUCCUUCUAGGUUAGAACCUUGUUGCUUGGAAAGCACACUUGCCUCGCGGUUAGAACUCGCCAAGUAAAUCUCCAGGUAGAGGACGAGGCAAGGGCAAAGGCAAGCUGGCGAGCGACCAGAAGUGACCGUGGCGAGCCAUAGGGAUUUCUGCUUCCGCUUAUCCUUGUUUUUGACUUUAGUACCCAAGUUUGAGUAUUCUUCACUAUUUACCAUUUUUUUUUGUAGAUAGGGCCCGAGUAGGACUUUAGAACGAAUUUCAUUUUUGCAUACUACCUUGUUUGGAUUUUCAUAAAUAAAAUUUCUCAAACCUUAUGCGUUUUACUAAAUUUUAUGACUUAAACCACUUGUUCUAUAUUUAGUAAUGACUUCGAUUCAGUAUAAGGAGUUGGGUCGUUACAUAUAUAUA